CCUACGGGUGGCAGCAGUGAGGAAUAUUUGUCAAUGGCCGUAAGGCUGAUCCAGCGAAGUCGCGUGAAGGAAGAAGGAUCUAUGGUUUGUAAACUUCUUUUAUAGGGGAGUAAAGUUAUACACGUGUGGAUAUUUGCAUGUACCCUAUGAAUAAGCAUCGGCUAACUCCGUGCCAGCAGCCGCGGUAAUACGGAGGAUGCGAGCGUUAUCCGGAUUUAUUGGGUUUAAAGGUUGCGUAGGUUGUUUUUUAAGUCAGCUGUGAAAGUUUGUGGCUCAACCAUAAAAUUGCCGUUGAAACUGGAAGACUUGAGUAUGUUUGAGGUAGGCGGAAUGCGGGGUGUAGCGGUGAAAUGCAUAGAUAUCACGAAGAACUCCGAUUGCGAAGGCAGCUUACUAAGCCAUAACUGACACUGAAGCACGAAAGCGUGGGGAUCAAACAGGAUUAGAUACCCUUGUAGUC
rnacentral:rRNA from 1 species